rnacentral:rRNA from 1 species
UACGAAGGGGGCUAGCGUUGUUCGGAAUCACUGGGCGUAAAGCGCACGUAGGCGGAUCUUUUAAGUCAGGGGUGAAAUCCCGGAGCUCAACUUCGGAACUGCCUUUGAUACAGCACGUCUUGAGUCCGAUAGAGGUGGGUGGAAUUCCUAGUGUAGAGGUGAAAUUCGUAGAUAUUAGGAAGAACACCGGUGGCGAAGGCGGCCCACUGGAUCGGUACUGACGCUGAGGUGCGAAAGCGUGGGGAGCAAACAGG